rnacentral:rRNA from 1 species
CCUACGGGAGGCUGCAGUGAGGAAUAUUGGUCAAUGGCCGUAAGGCUGAACCAGCAAAGUCGCGUGAAGGAAGAAGGAUCUAUGGUUUGUAAACUUCUUUUAUAGGGGAAUAAAGGGAUCCACGUGUUGAUGUUUGCAUGUCACCUAUGAAUAAGCAUCGGCUAACUACGUGCGAGCAGCCGCGGUAAUACGGAGGAUCAGAGCGUUAUCCGGAUUUAUUGGGUUUAAAGGGUGCGGAGAUGGUUUUUUAAGUCAGGGGUGAAAGUUGUGGGCUCAACCGUAAAAUUGCCGUGGAGACUGGAAGACUAGAGUGUGUGUGAGGUAGGCGGAAUGCGUGGUGUAGCGGUGAAAUGCAUAGAUAUCACGAAGAACUCCGAUGGCGAAGGCAGCUUACUA